GCCUACGGGAGGCAGCAGUGGGGGAUAUUGCACAAUGGGGGGAACCCUGAUGCAGCGACGCCGCGUGGGCGAUGGAGUGCUUCGGCAUGUAAAGCCCUAUCAGCAGGGAAGAAAAUGACGGUACCUGACUAAGAAGCCCCGGCUAACUACGUGCCAGCAGCCGCGGUAAUACGUAGGGGGCAAGCGUUAUCCGGAUUUACUGGGUGUAAAGGGAGCGUAGACGGCAUGGCAAGUCUGAAGUGAAAGCCCGGGGCUCAACCGCGGGACUGCUUUGGAAACUGUUAAGCUGGAGUGCAGGAGAGGUA
rnacentral:rRNA from 1 species